rnacentral:rRNA from 1 species
GACGAACGCUGGCGGCGUGCUUAACACAUGCAAGUCGAACGGAAAGGCUCCAGCUUGCUGGAGUACUCGAGUGGCGAACGGGUGAGUAACACGUGGGUAAUCUGCCCUGCACUCUGGGAUAAGCCUGGGAAACUGGGGCUAAUACUGGAUAUGACCUUUCUCCUUAUGGGGUUUGGUGGAAAGUUUUUCGGUGUAGGAUGGGCCCGCGGCCCAUCAGCUUGUUGGUGGGGUGAUGGCCUACCAAGGCGACGACGGGUAGCCGGCCUGAGAGGGUGAUCGGCCACAUUGGGACUGAGAUACGGCCCAGACUCCUACGGGAGGCAGCAGUGGGGAAUAUUGCACAAUGGGCGGAAGCCUGAUGCAGCGACGCCGCGUGAGGGAUGACGGCCUUCGGGUUGUAAACCGCUUUCAGCAGGGACGAAGCGUAAGUGACGGUACCUGCAGAAGAAGCACCGGCUAACUAUGUG